rnacentral:rRNA from 1 species
AGUUCGUGGAGUGAUCUGUCUGCUUAAUUGCGUUUCACAAAGAACUCUUUAACUUUUACCUGUUGCGCGUCAUUGCGCUCUCUGAGACGAUGUCUGUGCACGGUAAAGAAAAAGUUCUGAAGGCAACGAACGUGACCGCAACCUCUUGUUGCCUCCUUUUUUCAAACAUGAGAGUACUGUCUUGUCUCGUACAAGCUGUGCUUCUCUGCAUGGAGUGCUAACUAGAGGGACCGCUGACAACUUUUAAAACAGAGGAAGGUUGCGGCAAUAACAGGU